rnacentral:tRNA from 1 species
UCCUUGGUGGCUUGGAUGGUAAAGAAUCUGCCUGCAGUGCAGGAGGCCAGGGUUCAAUUCCUGGUUCGGGAA